GUGGGACUGCGCAGUCACGGGAGAAGAGGGCUCGGAAAUAAAAUCAGCUGUCCCUCAGUGCUUGUUGGACAGAGUUAACAUAGUGAGGCUGCUGGAGGAGCUGGUCUCCACCACCACAGCAGGAUUGGAAAGACUGCUGGCACAUUAGUUGACCUGCAGGCCAGGCUGAGCACAACUGACCCGAUCUGUGGAUUUCUGUCACACUUCACACUUGUCCAUUUAAGCUAGAUCUACUCGCAGUUGGGAAACACUUUCCCUACAUAGAACCUACCUAUAUGGAUUCCUUCAGGCAGCGUGGUGGUAGCCAGUGCUGGUCAUCCUGAGGGGCCAGAACAGCAGAGGAGCAGGCCUCACUCUGAACCCAUCCCUCUAAAGAACCGCAUGGCAAUGUAUCAAGCUGCAGUCUCCAAGCAGGACACACCAGGCUUCUCCAAUGGAGUACACAAGCUCACACAUAUGCAAACAUACACAAAACCAUAACUGAACAGAAAUUGCAAUGUUUUGCACAAAUUGCCUACAUUAUUAUUGUUGUUGUUGUUAUUGUUGUUGCCUGUAUCCUUGGAAGAUACACAUAAAAAUAUUAGAUCUGCCUUUGAAUACGCUACUUUAGAGUUAUAAAAGAAUAGUGUUUAAUAGCAUGUGGUUGAACAGCUGAAGCUAUGUAAGAGAGAGAGAGAAAAGAAAUAGAGAAGAUGAAUUUGGAUAUGUAUUAUAAAUAUAAUAUAUUACUUUCCCUUUCUUUUAAUGUCAUAAAGAUUGCUUUUUGGAUCUCUGUUCAUGGCCCAAACCCCUAUAAACUUGUGUAUAAAUUAUUUUUUGACAGACCUGCUGUUUUUGCGCUACAAUACUUUGCCCUUUUGGACAAAUUCAUUUGACUUUGCAAUCAUUUGCCAUGCAAAACACAGAGGGCCUUAAAUUAAAGACUUCAGUCCUGAUACAGGACAUCUAAAUUUGUUUUGUGGUUGCAGCUGAUGGCUUUGUAAUGUUUUGAGAGUGGAAUGUGAUGACAGCUGAUUAGUGUG
ensembl:lncRNA